AGAGCGCCUCCGCGGUGGGACGGAGCCGGACUGGGCCGAGCGAGGGAGGCUCCUGAGCCUCGGAGGACCCCGGGGUUGGCUUUGGGAGCUGAAAGUUUCCUUGGACCCCUCGGAAGCCCCGUGACAUCAGAGGCCGGGCCUGGCAGGGGCAGGCAGGAAACGUGUCUGGAGGCUACUGCCCUCUCCGCGUGACCUUGGGCGAGCAGCCUCCUCCUGGGGCUCAGUGGGUGUGAUUUUGUAACAUUUCCCAGCGCUGCCACAGGCGCGUCUCGCCCUGUCCAACGCGGAGCCCGAAGAAUUACUAAGAAACCGAGGUCUGAAGGAGGGAAGAGGUGACGGGCUCGAGGCCACACGGUGGGCCAGGCUGGGCCCGGCUGCACGCCGGCUACCGGGGCCCAGCCCUCUGCACGCCUCCCGCAGCCUCAGUUUCCCUGUCCGUGGUACUGAGGAUGCUCGGGCCUAGAAGUUCAGGGCUGGAGGCCCAGGGACCGUCGAGGGAGGGGCAUCAUCCCCGCCAUGGGGCCGCCGCAACUGCCCAGAGCACAGGCCAAAGGUGCGUGCCACGGGGCUACUGGCGUUGUGGACGCUGCCCCUGCCUCCCCAUCCCCCGCAGGAAACAGCCUUGUGACCGUGACUAACGCACCUUUGCCGGGGUAGAGGGGCAAGGGCCCCUGCUACCGUUUGCCACACACUGCCCCAUGUCCCUCACUGCUCCCGUCCUUCCUAGAAGUGAGGUGCUGAUACAUAUAAAAAUUAUGGAUCCCAUUUUAUGGGACAUGAGCUGAAACAGGAGGUUUCCUGGGCUGCCAGGGGCUUAGGAAAUCCAGUGCCUGAUACACAGGAAAUGCUUCUAUGUGGGGAGUUCACAGUCUUCCAGAAGCAAAAAUGUUUUUUGGUUUUUUUUUUGAGACGGAGUCUUGCUCAGUCGCCCAGGCUGGAGUGCAGUGGCACGAUCUCGGCUCACUGCAACCUCCGCCUCCCGGGUUCACGCCAUUCUGCUGCCUCAGCCUCCCG
rnacentral:lncRNA from 1 species